UCUCGCCAAACGUGGUCUUUGAUUGAUCUUCCACUUGGGAAAGAUGUCGUGAAGUGUCGGUGGGUGCACAUUAUCAAGUACAACCCGGAUGGCUCGGUUGAGCAUCUUAAAGCCCGACUUGUUGCUAAAGUUCCACUCCUCCACUUGAAAUAAAAUAUUGCAAUAAAAAGACUGGAAAUCGCCAUAAAUGACCAUUCAGUUAUGCUGAAUCAUCGAAUAUCUACAUUAACUUGAAUCGGUCACCAUAAAUGAUUACACUUAGAAGUUAGAGCAAGUUUCCUCGCACAAUCGGUCACCUUUGUAGAAGUUGUGAGAGCAUUACUCACUUAUGUAAGGGCUUAAGUUGUCCGAUGAACAUGUGCUUUAAAGUUUGAUUAUGGCAUCUACUAACUUUGG